UUUUAAUGUAAGAGACUCAUCUCAGGGAUCAGAAACAUAGUCCCGGCCAGCAACUUGCUCCUUGUUGAAACAGAACAGAACAGAAGCAAGCAACAAGAACACAACAAUGAUGGAUUGUCAGGCUAAUUUUGUGUUGAAAGUAAAUUUCUGCACGGACCUGGAGGCAGGAAGAGGUCACACCUGGCCCUGUGUCUACUGUACUCUAGGUGUGGAGCUACUGUCAGUCACAGGCACACCUUGGCCAAAUUACACACAGGCU
rnacentral:lncRNA from 1 species